rnacentral:lncRNA from 1 species
UUUCUUCACCGAAUGUAGAAAAGAAAAACAAGGUUUGAAAGCUUGAAACAUUCGGCCAUUUUGAAGCUUAAUUCAAGAUCAAGAAUUAAAGAAAUCGGAUUUGGAUCGGGGAAAUACAAAAGUGGUCGAGUAGCCGAUUUAACAGUCGACGACAUCCAAGGUAAGUCUAAUAGCAAUUUAAAUGUUAUUAAAUUGGAAUUUAUAUAAAUAUAUCUAUCAUACAUUUAGUAAGCUGGAACUAAAAGUAUAUAAAUUGAAUAAAACUUGGUGAUUUUUCUAUGUGAUAGCCGAACAUAGAAAUUAAUUUUGGGAGGUUGAUAUUAAUGGUAUAAAUUACAUGUAUAUUAGCUAAAGUAUGCUUUAAGUUCAAUGAUAUGAAACUAAUAGUAGAAUGUACAUGGAUAUGUAGUUCGAAUGUAAGAUUUAAUUUCUUGAGUUGAAUUUAAAGUUAUGAAUUAUAUAUAUAAAGUUUGAAUGUAUGAUACAAGUUCUUUGAUUCUUUGAGUUGAACUUAAUAUUAUGAAUUAUAUAUAUAUGCACAUAUGGUUCGAAUAUAUAUAUUUAAAGUUCUUGAGCUGAAUUUAAUGUAUGAAUUUUACUUACAUAUGUGGUUCGAAUAUAGGUUACAAAUUCUUUGAGCUGAAUUUUAAUGUUGUAAAUUAUACAUAUGUGGUUCGAAUGUUUGUUUGCUAUGGAGAAUUGAAUAUAGUUCAAUUCUUACGGAGAUACGGUUAUUGAGUAAGACUUAGGUAAACAUAAAGAAUUAUACGAAAGAUCAUCUUUGUAUAUGAGAUUUUCAGGCUUAAUGCCUAGCAGGCUUGAUGCCGGUGGAUUAUUUCAGGCUUAAUGCCUAGCAGGCUUGAUGCCGGUGGAUUAUUUCAGGCUUAAUGCCUAGCAGGCUUGAUGCCGGUGGAUUAUUUCAGGCUUAAUGCCUAGCAGGCUUGAUGCCGGUGAAUUAUUUUAGACUUUAUGUCUAGCAGGCUUGAUGCCGGUGAAUUAAUUCCGACUUUAUGUCUAGCAGGCUUUGUGCCGGUGAAAUGAAUCGGGCUUUGUGCCUAGCAGGCUUUAUGCCGGUGUUUUAUAUAGGGCUCUAUGUUUUAUAAAUUUUAUAUGAGCAAUAGUAAAAGCAAAUAAAUGUGUUAAGAAAGUUAAAUUAUUCAGGUAUGUGUUAGCCAUUUGCUUAAUUGCUGAUGAGGUAAGUUGAUUAUUUUAAUUUGAUAAUAGUUUCAAAUGAAAUAUAGAGUAUGAGUUAAUCAUUUGAGUAUAAGCAUGUUUUAGCAUAAUGAUUUAUUGAAUAUUCGGCUUUGCUAAAUAUUUAUGUGUAUUUGGCCAUAUGGUUUGUUUAUAUGAAAAUACAAUGUGAUUUUUAUUAAAGUGUUAUAUGGUACAAAAUAUUAUGAUAUUUGGUUUAUUUUAACUUAAUGAUGGAAUAAGUAUUAAUAUAUAUAUAAAUGAAUUUUUGCUUAUGACUUACUAAGCUUUAAAUAGCUUACUGUGUGUAUGUUGUUCUUCGUUUUAUAGAUUUUUGGAAGUUGGUUACGAGCUCGGGGAUCGUCAAAGA